UCCGGCUUGUCACCGGCAGUUCCCCUAGAGUGCCCGGCCGAACCGAUGGCAACUAAGGGCGAGGGUUGCGCUCGUUGCGGGACUUAACCCAACAUCUCACGACACGAGCUGACGACAGCCAUGCAGCACCUGUCUCAGAGUUCCCGAAGGCACCAAUCCAUCUCUGGAAAGUUCUCUGGAUGUCAAGACCUGGUAAGGUUCUUCGCGUUGCGUCGAAUU
rnacentral:misc_RNA from 1 species